rnacentral:lncRNA from 1 species
CGCCCCGUCACACAGCUCCAUCUUCUCCGAUUGGAAUUUAAUUACCUUCACCAGCGAAUGUUUGGAGAACCUCUCUCCAUCAAUUGAUUCUGAAGUCAGAUUUUUAUUCCGAGAUACUUAAUGGCACUUGGGCUGAUGGAAGCCUGGGAGCAGGUGGACCUGGGCCACAAGGAGCCCUUUAACAACAGGGUGAGGAAGGGUCAUUGCGGAUAUUCCCCUGCCUCUGAGCAGGUCAAUAUUUCAGGCACCCCAGACAGUUGGAAGUAUCGCAUUCCUGAGCCUCCUGCUGGUCUGGACUGGAAGUUCUUUCUGAUGUCUGCUUGAUGCUGGCUGGCUCCAUGUUCGGCUUUCCCAGGAGACGGUGCUGGAGGAGCAGCACAGGACGAGGAAGGGCUUCUCUUGCAGGCUCCUCAGUGAGGUGUCCCGCAGCAUCCAGCCUCCUGCAGCAGCCCAGAGAGUGGCCUGCCAGAGAGUUCCACCCACACCGGCACUUCAGCAAACUUUCCUGCAGCCAGGGCGCCUCGGCUGUACCAUCUCUAACAAGAUCUGGUCAUACAGAGUGGAGGGGUUGCCUCAGCCCAGGAAGGAAGCAGAAGACCCAGGCAGAUGCAAGCAGGAAAGAAGGCUGAGCUCAGUGGCACAUGCCUGUAAUCCCAGCACUUUGGGAGGCUGAGGCAGGAGGAUCGCUUGAACCCAAGAGUUUGAGGCUGCUGUGAGCUGUGAUCACACCACUGCAUUCCAACCUGGGCAACAGAAGGAGACCCUUUCUAAAAAAUAAAAUAAAAUAAAAUAAAAUAAAA